rnacentral:rRNA from 1 species
UACGGGGGGAGCAAGCGUUGUUCGGAUUUACUGGGCGUAAAGGGCGCGUAGGCGGCAGAUUAAGUCAGCUGUGAAAUCUCCGAGCUUAACUCGGAACUGUCAGCUGAUACUGUUUUGCUAGAGUGCGGAAGGGGCAAUCGGAAUUCUUGGUGUAGCGGUGAAAUGCGUAGAUAUCAAGAGGAACACCUGAGGUGAAGACGGGUUGCUGGGCCGACACUGACGCUGAGUGCGCGAAAGCUAGGGUAGCAAACGGG